rnacentral:lncRNA from 1 species
AGGUUACUUGGUACAGUGGUCGACAAAAC